GAUGAACGCUGGCGGCGUGCUUAACACAUGCAAGUCGAACGAUGAAGCCCAGCUUGCUGGGUGGAUUAGUGGCGAACGGGUGAGUAACACGUGAGUAACCUGCCCUUAACUCUGGGAUAAGCCUGGGAGACUGGGUCUAAUACCGGAUAGGAGCGUCCACCGCAUGGUGGGUGUUGGAAAGAUUUAUCGGUUUUGGAUGGACUCGCGGCCUAUCAGCUUGUUGGUGAGGUAAUGGCUCACCAAGGCGACGACGGGUAGCCGGCCUGUGAGGGUGACCGGCCACACGGGGACUGAGACACGGCCCAGACGCGUACGGGAGGCAGCAGGGGGGAACAUUGCACAAUGGGCGCGAGCCUGAGGCAGCGGCGCUGCGUGAGGGAUGACGGCCUUCGGGUUGUAAACAUCUUUCAGAAGGGAAGAACCGAAAGUGACGGUACCUGCAGAAGAAGCACCGGCUAACUACGUG
rnacentral:rRNA from 1 species